UCCUCCCUUUGUCGUUUACACUUCUGCAAGGGAGAGGGAGAGUCGAUCAAUCGACACACGACUCCAUCACUCUGCAAUCAAUCCUUGGGAGCUCUAAUUUAUGGUUUCUUUUCGCCUUUUUCCCUCAAAGUUUAUUUGGUUUCCACUUCUAACAUUCUCUCGCAUUUAAUCAAUCUCAUCAUCUUCCAAAGCUGUUUCCUCUUUUUUUUUUCAUUACUAUAAUCGAAACAGAACAGAAACCCCAGUUGAUGUCUUCAUCCCUUUACUAUAACAAGCAAACCCUUUUCUUCUUCCCUCAAAUCAAUUCUUUCUCUAGCUUUCUGAGGAAAGAGUUUGAAUUUAUCGAUGUGUUUGAUAAUGGAAGCGGUGGAUGAUCACAUCGACGACGGUGGUGUUUUAGUUGCGCCGUCUAAUUUUUCGAAUUUUGGUUUCCUCUCAACCCUCAAUCUUCGUUCCAUCAUGUAAAGUCGAUUCCUUUAUUCAUACUCUCAAUUAGGGAUGAACAACGCUACCACUACGGAAUCGGAAAGAACAAACUCUUUAUAGUUACCAGCUCCAACAAUGGCGUCACAUGUCAGGGAGGGCUAGGCUAUCUCUCUUUGGAAACCCCUUGCAGCAACAUGUCAGCCAUAAAAGCUUUCUUAAGGUUCACACAGCCAACGUAGAGGAGAGCCGGGUGCCGCAAGAACUGCAAGUCAGACUGUGCGAAGAGAUGUUCUUGCUGGUGACGCAGCUUCAGAAUCCCAAGGAAUAACUCUCAGCAACGGGUCUUCUCGAAGACAAUACCUUGACGGAGCUAAUAUUACUUUCCUUCCGAGGCCACUAAAGCUAUUAUUUCUCUGCAUCUCUUCCUAUUUGAUUUUUAAGUUUCCAUUUUAGAUGUCUGAAUCUCUGUUGAUAUUUGGUUAUAAUAUGAAACUGGAUUUGAAAUACGUUAUGUUUCUAAGUUCUUAGAUGUCUGAAUCUCUUUAUUCUCGGUUUUUAGUGUCUUAGUCUUUUUUUUUCCAAUCAGUAUGAACGAAUGUCAGUAGUUGUAAGGGAUGAGGAAGGGCAGAUUCUUCUACUGUGCAAAGGAGCUGACAGUAUCAUCUUUGAACGGUUGGCUAAGAAUGGGAAGACAUACUUGGGACCAACCACAAACCAAAAAAAAAGAAUACGGAGAAGCUGGUCUCCGUACACUUGCACUUGCUUAGAGGAAGCUUGGUGAGGAAGAAUAUUCAGCUUGGAACUCUGAGUUUCAAAAGGCAAAAACUUCAAUAGGAUCUGACAGAGAUGAGGUGCGCUUGAGACAGGAGCUGAUAUGAUUGAAAAAGAUCUUAUUCUUAUAGGUGCUACUGCUGUGGAGGACACUCCAGAAAGGGGUCCCUCAAUGCAUAGAUAAACUUGCUCAAGCUGGGCUGCUUCAGAUACCAAGACUGUUAUUGUGUAGAUGCAGAGACAUCGACCAAGGCCAAGAAGAUAGAACGAGAGUGAUAAAUGCAAAUUCUGAAAGCUUUUUUUUUUGUCAGCUUCUGAAAGCUAAUUAACGUGUUUGAGUAUUACCAUGUUAUUUGUUUGCAAAGAUUGUUUCACACAAUGAGAUUUUGCUACCUUACCGUGAUGUGUACUUGUGUUAGCGUUGUAUAGAUGUUUUUGGUACUUAAACUAUGGAGUUUAACUACUUAAA